ensembl:lncRNA MIR99AHG mir-99a-let-7c cluster host gene
AGAUGCUUUGCCUCGCCUCUCGCUGUGUAUCUGUAUGCCUGUGUGCGCGCGCGUGCUCGCUCGGGCAUCCGUGUCUAGCCGAGGGGAGGGGGUGGCGUGUGAGUGCGUGGAGGGUAAAAGCCAGUCAGUCAGUGAGAAGCAAAGAUCAACCACCUCAGAAGAGCCAGAUUCCACUUCUGUGGCCAGGACUUUUACAUUAUGGCUGGUCCGAUUGUUUUACCCUGCGUUCUAUGCUACUAAACCUUGGAUCAUUCCUAAAGUGUCUGAUGAUUUGUGAGCCUCAAGUGACUACUCUGUGGAAUCAUCUGUCCUUGCCUUUGAAUUAGCUUUCCCUAGGCCAUGAGUCAACAUUAGUAGUUUAUACAUCCAAAUUGAUGACAAGAGCACCUCAAAGGCAGCAGCCUCAAGGAGCAGCCAUGGCCCCAGACUUGUCGCACGGAUGCAGAAAACUUAAUGGAGGAGGCUGAGGUCAGAAUGGGAAGAGUUUUUAAAAAAUAAAAAGGGGAGCUAAUAUGUGAGGAACUGAUUGCUGUGCAUUAUUUUCCACUGAACAGACCUUCUUUUAACUUCUAAUCUCAAGCACAUAGCAGCUGUUGUUUUCAUAUUAAAGAUCAGUAAGUGUUUGUUGAAUGAAUGUAUAAAUUCUUCCCCAAUCUCUGUUCCAUGUAAUAAGAACUAAGUUAGCAUUCAAUUAUAAAGAGGACUUAGAAAGUCUGCAGACAUUUUUGAUCAAAAAUCCUUUUAACUGUCUUCUUAUGGUUCCCGGUAACACCUAAGCCCAAAAAACUCAGGUCAUUUCUUGCCUGUACUGUUGCAAUAGCCUCAUAAUAACUAGUCUUCUCCUUUAUCAACCACAGUCGUCUCCGCUACACAAAGAAGAGAGGGUGCUAAUCUAAAGUGUAAAUUAUUUUAAAUCAGCACCCUUCUUGUAAUUUCCCAGUGGUUUUUCCUGUCAUAAGAAUAACAUGCAAAAUUCCUUGCUUGCAAAGCCAGGUAUGACCUUGCCCCGUCUACCUUACUGGCAUCGUCUCUCAUGACUCUUCCCCUUUUUCACUCUCCAUCUUGCCUUUUCCCAACCAUGCCUGCUAGUGAGCCUUAGCCCUUGUGUUUUCUCUGCCAGGGAUGCAUGACUGGCUUCUUUACUUUAUUCUGAUCUCUCUGCUCAAAUGUCAUCUUUUUAGAGAUAGCUUUCCUAAACAUCUUUAAAAGUACCCCAUGAACUGUGAAACACCUUUCCUGCUUUUUCUUCAUAGUACUUAUCACUUCCUGAUAUUAUGUUAGACAACAAGCAAAUAAGUAUAUGCUGUUCCCACUAAAAUAUAAGCUCCAUUUGAACAGGAGCCUUGAUUAUUCCUGAGUAUACCCCUAGUGCCCAGAACCUAGUAGGGCUUUAAUAAAUAUUAGAUUCAUUUGUUGAAUGAAAAAAUGAAUGAAUAAUUGAAUAAAGAUAUCCAGGUAGAGUGUCCGGGCAGCCCAACCUAUGUGAAGCCAGUACAAGAAUGUUUCUGUGACAUAGUGAGCGCAAUUAUUCCUCUAAAUGAUGAACUUGCAUGAGUACACAAGGAUAAAAUUAAGCACGUAGUUUAGAUUUCUGCAAGUCUCUUCCUCAGAUUGAGGAAAAACAAAGAAAUUGAGCUUAUUCUCACCUCAUUCUUACAUGAACUAAAUCCAGAAUAAAGCAUCAUUUAAAUACCAAGCACAUCCCUACCUCAGCCACUCAUGGAAUACUUUAUCUGUAAAGGGACAGAUAGAUAGUAAAUAUUUUUGGCUUUGGGGACCGUACAGUCUGUGUCGCCACUACUCAGCACUUCUGUUGAGGUGUGGAAUCAGCCCUAGACAACACAUAAACAAAUGGGUGUGGCUGUGUUCCAAUAAAAUGUUAUUUAUAAAACUAGGAAAUCAGCAGAUUUAGUCCACAGGCUGUAGUUUGCUGACCCUUGAAUUAGAGAGUCUUCCCCAAAUCCUCUUCCCAAGUUAUUGAAAGAAUGCCCAUAGGACCAUAGCUCCCUCACCUGGUUCUUUCAAGAAAUGAGACAAAUUCAGGGAUGGUUGGAGGGUGGAACGCCUACCUGUGACAUGACUAUUGAGCCUGAUUUCUUUCCUUUUAUCUCUUUAAAGUGAGUCAGGUCUUAACUUUAAACUGUCUCUAAAGUGGCAAUAACUGGGCCAUGUCAAAUACUCCCAAUGACAAAAUUUCUUCUUGGAGAAUGAAUGAGGGUUGCAUACAGUGGUGUGUUGGUAAAUGUUUAGCAACUGGCUCUCUUACUGAUUUCUGUAGUGUAAAUUCUCCCAUCCUGGCCAUCUGAAACUACCAAUAUGAUGUCACUUGAUGUAGAGUUGGGAAAAGACAGUCUCUUGAAUAAGUAUGAGCUGGUUCCAGCCCACUGCUGAACACAUAUUUAAAAGCUACAAUAGCUCUGCUCACUGCCAUUGCAGAGUCUGGAGGAAAGAGUAGCAGGCUUGAUAGGAGCAAUUGGCUGAAUAAUCUUUUGCAAUGCCAAUAAAUAAUGAAAAAGUAUAUAAAUAUAACGCUGUAUAGAAAGCUCUCAAGUUCAGUGUUUGGUUAAAAUACAUACUCAGUAAAUGGUAGCUAUUAUUGUCUUAGUUUAAGUUAUUGCAAGCAUUAAAAUUAAAUGUUUAGCUACAGACUCAAUCCAGUUUUAAUGUCAUUGUGUUAAUAAGGCCUCUUAACAUUGAAGCAACAAAGAUAAAGGAAUUUUUUUGUAGCUAUUCACGAUUCUGCCCAGCUCAAGGUAAAGAUAGCAACAAAAUACUCCAACCAGAAUAAAAGAAGUCUCCACUUGACUGCAGCUCUUCGCAACACUUCACAAGGGUCAAGCUGUGUUAGUUUCCUUCAGUGUUAAACAGAAUGCAUCUUAAGAGAAUAGUUCAAUUAUUGAUUGAAUAGUAGGUUCAAGUUGACUAUAAUCCCAACUAAUACACUCUAAGACCAGGGAUGGGCCGACAGAAGGGUAAAGUUUUCCACUCAAGUCUCGAGGCAAACACUCAGAUAGAAGUAGUAAUAUGGAUGCCUUCUAUUAUUUGGUCACAUACAAUACUGUUCCAGCCCAGUUGUGCAAAACUGGUGAAAUAAAAGGCAAAAAUAUUGACAACAGUUUGGGUAACUGGAUUCCAAAAUGGGCAUCCAUCUAAGAGAAAUUAAUGAAAAAAAAGCAUAUGGACCUUGAAAUACAUUAAUACACAGUUUAGGUUUAAACACUCAGUUUUUAUUAGAAAAGACUAACUUAUCCUGUUUUGAACACUACAAAAGUGCUUUCUGAACCAUUUACUCUCAAACCUCCUCCACCCAUUCCCCUCCAUCUAUAACGCUUUCUGCACAUCUGUAAAAGGUAUGACUUAGUGUUUGGUCUGUGAAAUAAGGUUAAAAAGGAAGCAUUUCUUUUUACAUUCUAGCUAAUGUUGAUAUUUUUCUCAUGCUUCUAUUAGCACAUAAUUCAGAUACAUUAGUUUUGAAGUUUUGAAUCUUCUCUGCUUCUUGAGGGCUCUCUGUUCUAGAUCAACAUGAUCUGUGGAACACCAGCCAAGUCCUGGGCAGAACCCUCCCCGUUGUCCAAAUAUUACUGAAUCAGUUGAGUUUUCUCUGUUGUCAAUGAAUUAUUCCACAUGUUUCUUUGGCUACAUUUUUUUUGGCUUUCUGUUCACAGUAAAUAUAGCCUUUGUUUUUAAAAACUUCUAUUAUGAAAAUUCCAAAUAUAUGCAAAUUAGAGAGAAUAGCAUAAUGAACCUCUAUGUGCUUAUCACACAUAUAGGUUCAACUAAUUAAAUUAUAUCAAUUUAUGGCCAAUCUGGUUUCAUUUAUAACAUCAUUCGCUCAUUCCUAACUCCCUGGAUUAUUUGAUUGACAUGUUUCUAAAGUUCCUUUUAAUCUGUAGGUUCCCCCUCUCAUUUAAUCUUUUGCAACUUAUUCAUUGAUGAAACUGGGUUAUUUGUCCUUUAUUGUUUCUCUCAUUCUGAAAUAUGCUGUAAUGUCAUUAACCAUAUUCUUCUUUCCUGUAUUUUCUGUAAGCUU